CAGUCGCCGCGGUAAUACAGAGGGUGCGAGCGUUAAUCGGAUUUACUGGGCGUAAAGCGUGCGUAGGCGGCUUUUUAAGUCGGCUGUGAAAUCCCUGAGCUUAACUUAGGAAUUGCAUUCGAUACUGGGAAGCUAGAGUAUGGGAGAGGAUGGUAGAAUUCCAGGUGUAGCGGUGAAAUGCGUAGAGAUCUGGAGGAAUACCGAUGGCGAAGGCAGCCAUCUGGCCUAAUACUGACGCUGAGGUACGAAAGCAUGGGGAGCAAACAGGAUUAGAUACCCCGGUAGUCCCUGUCUCUUAUAC
rnacentral:rRNA from 1 species